AGCAGCAUGGCGCAGUCUGGAAGCGCGCGGGGCCCAUAUUCUCACGUAAUACGCUACCCCGAGGUCACUCGAUCGAAACGAGUUGCUGCUA